GAUGAACGCUGGCGGCGUGCCUAAUACAUGCAAGUCGAGCGAACGGACGAGAAGCUUGCUUCUCUGAUGUUAGCGGCGGACGGGUGAGUAACACGUGUAUAACCUACCUAUAAGACUGGGAUAACUUCGGGAAACCGGAGCUAAUACCGGAUAAUAUUUUGAACCGCAUGGUUCAAAAGUGAAAGACGGUCUUGCUGUCACUUAUAGAUGGAUCCGCGCUGCAUUAGCUAGUUGGUAAGGUAACGGCUUACCAAGGCAACGAUGCAUAGCCGACCUGAGAGGGUGAUCGGCCACACUGGAACUGAGACACGGUCCAGACUCCUACGGGAGGCAGCAGUAGGGAAUCUUCCGCAAUGGGCGAAAGCCUGACGGAGCAACGCCGCGUGAGUGAUGAAGGUCUUCGGAUCGUAAAACUCUGUUAUUAGGGAAGAACAUAUGUGUAAGUAACUGUGCACAUCUUGACGGUACCUAAUCAGAAAGCCACGGCUAACUACGUG
rnacentral:rRNA from 1 species